AGGACGAACGCUGGCGGCGUGCUUAACACAUGCAAGUCGAACGGAAAGGCCCUUUCGGGGGUGCUCGAGUGGCGAACGGGUGAGUAACACGUGGGUGAUCUGCCCUGCACUUUGGGAUAAGCCUGGGAAACUGGGUCUAAUACCGAAUACACCUUGCUGGCUGCAUGGCUGGUGGGGGAAGGCUUUUGCGGUGUGGGAUGGGCCCGCGGCCUAUCAGCUUGUUGGUGGGGUGAUGGCCUACCAAGGCGACGACGGGU
rnacentral:rRNA from 1 species